rnacentral:rRNA from 1 species
CGCAUCUGUGCAUGCAGCAUAUCAAUAAGCGGAGGAAAAGGUACCUACGCUUAGGAUGUUGACGAGACUGUCGAUCUCAUCUAUACAUGACUCUGCGUAUAUCAAUAAGCGGAGGAAAAGGGGGCUAAUACCUACGCUUAGGAUGUUGACGAGACUGUCGAUCUCAUCUAUACAUGACUCUGUGCAUAUCAAUAAGCGGAGGAAAAGUCAAUACCUACGCUUAGGAUGUUGACGAGACUGUCGAUCUCAUCUAUACAUGACUCUGUGCAUGCAGCAUAUCAAUAAGCGGAGGAAAAGAAACUAACAAGGAUUCCCCUAGUAACGGCGAGUGAAGCGGGAAGAGCUCAAAUUUGAAAUCUUAAAGGGUUUCCCUUUACGAAUUGUAGUUUAAAGAAGUGUUUUCUGUUGAGGUUUUGGUAAAAGUUCUUUGGAAUAGGACAUCAUAGAGGGUGAGAAUCCCGUAUUUGACCUUUACUUUCAACUUUGUGAUACACUUUCAAAGAGUCGGAUUGUUUGGGAAUGCAGUCCAAAAUGGGUGGUAAAUUUCAUCUAAAGCUAAAUAUUGGCGAGAGACCGAUAGCGAACAAGUACCGUGAGGGAAAGAUGAAAAGAACUUUGGAAAGAGAGUUAAACAGUACGUGAAAUUGUCAAAAGGGAAGCGUUUGACACCAGUGUUGUUUUUCUGAAAAUCAAUUAAAGAACUGUUUAUGCUAAGUUGUUUAGACUUUAUCAGCUAACUGUUUAGUUUUGAGCUUUUCUUUAAUGCACCUUUUCAGUUAACAAGUCAACAUCAAUUUCUUUUGCUGUAAAAAAGCUUGAGGAAGGUGGCUUGAGAUUCGUCUUAAGUGUUUAUAGCCUCUUGCCUAUGCAGUCGGAGAGAUUGAGGUCUGCAGCGUAGAUCCUUCGGGGCUAAAUGCAUUUGUGCUAAGUUAUAGCAUUUUAUAGACAACUUGUUGACUAUGAUUUGUCUUGUAGCUUACUCGCUUAUGUUAUUUUACCUACGCUUAGGAUGUUGACGAGACUGUCGAUCUC